rfam:Helianthus annuus linkage group 15, whole genome shotgun sequence.
GAUGUUCAGAUGAUGAUCAAUUGCAUAGUUCAAAUGAAUGUUUGUGAUUAGAAAAGUUUUAGUCUUUCGCUCCUAUCUGAUGAACUCA